AUUGAACGCUGGCGGCAGGCCUAACACAUGCAAGUCGAGCGAGCGGCGGACGGGUGAGUAAUGUAUGGGGACUGCCUGAUAGAGGGGGAUAACUACUGGAAACGGUAGCUAAUACCGCAUACGAUCGGAUAACCCAUAUGGGAUUAGCUCGUAGGUGAGGUAGUGGCUCACCUAGGCGACGAUCCCUAGAUGGUCUGAGAGGAUGAUCAGCCACACUGGGACUGAGAAACGCCCCAGACUCCUACGGAGGAAGCAGUGGGGAAUAUUGGACAAUGGGCGCAAGCCGGAUACAGACAUGCCGCGGGUAGGAAGAAGGCCCUAGGGUUGUAAAGUACUUUCAGUCGGGAGGCGUUACCGACAGAAGAAGCACCGGCUAACUCCGUGCCAGCAGCCGCGGUAAUAC
rnacentral:rRNA from 1 species